UGGGGGAUAUUGCACAAUGGGCGAAAGCCUGAUGCAGCGACGCCGCGUGGGGGAUGAAGGGCUUCGGGUUGUAAACUUCUUUUGCUCUGAACAAGGCGCACCAUGGGGUGUGUUGAGUGUAGGGGUUGAUUAGCGCCGGCUAACUACGUGCCAGCAGCCGCGGUAAUACGUAGGGCGCGAGCGUUGUCCGGAAUUAUUGGGCGUAAAGGGCUUGUAGGUGGCUGGUUGCGUCUGUCGUGAAAGCUCAUGGCUUAACUGUGGGUUUGCGGUGGGUACGGGCUGGCUUGAGUGCAGUAGGGGAGGCUGGAAUUCCUGGUGUAGCGGUGGAAUGCGCAGAUAUCAGGAGGAAUACCGGUGGCGAAGGCGGGUCUCUGGGCUGUUACUGACACUGAGGAGCGAAAGCAUGGGGAGCGAACAGG
rnacentral:rRNA from 1 species